rnacentral:rRNA from 1 species
CUGAUCAGCCAUGCCGCGUGCAGGAAGAAUGCCCUAUGGGUAGUAAACUGCUUUUAUACGGGAAGAAAAAGAGCUACGUGUAGCUUACUGACGGUACCGUAAGAAUAAGGACCGGCUAACUCCGUGCCAGCAGCCGCGGUAAUACGGAGGGUCCGAGCGUUAUCCGGAAUUAUUGGGUUUAAAGGGUCCGUAGGCGGGCCGUUAAGUCAGGGGUGAAAGUCUGCGGCUCAACCGUAGAAAUGCCUUUGAUACUGGCGGUCUUGAGUUAUGGUGAAGUUGCCGGAAUAUGUAGUGUAGCGGUGAAAUGCAUAGAUAUUACAUAGAACACCGAUUGCGAAGGCAGA